AUUAUUGUUCCUGUGUACAUCAAGGCGCCCGAGCUAUCCACAAUUCUUGAGAACAAUGCAGGACUUGAGUAUCUUACCAAGACAAGAAAAGUUUGUGUCAGAAGGCUGCUUAGUGCUAAUGCUCAUGGGUACCCUAUACCACCACCGGCGCUUGAAUACAUGAAGCAAUAUCACAAGGCAUAUUUCACAGAUGAGGCACAAGAGCAGUUGAAGGUGGCUCAUCCGUAUGUAUCAAGCAGUGCACCAGCACACGAAGACGAUGAUCAAAGCCAUACUUCUGAUGACAAUGGUGCAGACAGAAAGAAACGUAAAGACUUGACAGAGAAUCCUACUCACCAACAUCAAGCAUGUACUUCUGGUGUUUCGAGUGUACUCCAGCAAACGAUUUCUAAAAGGCCCAAGUUCUGUCUGGAAGAAAUUCAUAGGACAGGUCACCCUGAAGUGGACGCGAAACGGAAAUCCGUUUCGUCUGCUACUCAUCCAGGAUUUCCAACUGAAGAUGAACUUAUGCUGGCAGGAGUUUCAGCUACCCCUGAGGAGUACCAAGAAUUUCUCAAGACAAUGGAGAUGAUGUACAAAACAUAUGAGAAUCCAUGUUAUGACGCUGAAGGCCUAGCUCUCGGUUCAUUGAAGAGAUCAGAGUACUUCCUCAUGCCAGAUACCAUACAGUAUGAACCAUGUACAGUUGAUAGCAUUUGCCGAGGGCCUGCAUUCUGGAAACCUGAUCGGAAGCUAGUUUCUCAGGUGUACGCCCUGGCUAAAACGCAGGCGCUGCAGCUUGGCAUUGCAGGGGACAGGCAAAUUAAGUGGGCGGUUCUACGAGCUCAGGCAUUUUCUGCUGGUUGGUAUCAUGGACAGAAAUACUCAAGGCUUUGUUCGCCUCCAAAGAACUCAGCUGAGAUUUAUGCCAACGACCUGGGAGCCAUUGAGAAAUACCUUUCUGAUGCUUGGAAGCUUGUCUGCUUCCUGCCAUUUCUCCACGAGUUAGCGUUCCGAACGAUUGGUAGCACAUGGUCAUGGAAUUCUGACAAUGCAGCUAAAUAUGAUUGCAAAGCAAUGAAUGCAAUGGCAGGGAAGAUUCAAGCAAACCCUUGGAAGUAUCAUGCAAUGCCAAAGCCUUAUAACUUGAAGCCUUUAAGUGAAGAAGAACAACUUGAGGUCACGGCUGCUAUGACCUGUGCUGAAGAUUUUGCACCGAUAACCUUUGCGUUUACUCAGUCUGUGAUGGGACAUCAUCAACUUCCAGGGUACAUGGCACUAAAGAAGUAUGCUAGUGGUGCUCUCUAUGAGCGCUUCAAAAAGUUCUUUGCUUUUAUGAGGAAAAAGUUAGCUAAGGAUAUCGGCGCAAAGAUAGUUGCUGAGGCAUCUGGUAUUCCCCAA
rnacentral:rRNA from 1 species